GUUGGUGCAAAAGUAAUUGCGGUUUUUGCCAUUGAACGUAAUGGCAAAAAACGCAAUAACUUUU
rnacentral:miRNA from 1 species